rnacentral:rRNA from 1 species
UACGUAGGGUGCGAGCGUUGUCCGGAAUUACUGGGCGUAAAGGGCUCGUAGGCGGCCAACUAAGUCGGAUGUGAAAUCCCCAGGCUUAACCUGGGAACUGCAUCCGAUACUGGAUGGCUUGAAUCCGGGAGAGGGAUGCGGAAUUCCAGGUGUAGCGGUGAAAUGCGUAGAUAUCUGGAGGAACACCGGUGGCGAAGGCGGCAUCCUGGACCGGCAUUGACGCUGAGGAGCGAAAGCCAGGAGAGCAAACGGG